UACAAGCCGAUGUUCUUUAUACGAUUCAACCCACUGACUGAUUUCUGACUAAAAGGAAAACUUGUACAAAUUAUAAGUAUUACGAAGCGACGGGUUGGUCGCGUGGUGUGGAUGGCGUGAUGUCGCGCCACUCGCACCAUGUUGCGAAAGUAUUCGUUUUAAAAUUAAGCCUCGAGCUGUAGCACAAUCACGGACUUUUCUGUUGACGCCAUUUCCUCGUUAUGGAUCGAUAAAACUGAAAGGUAGAGUAAUAAUAACAAUGGAAUGUGCUGCAAAAACAAAGGUUGAAAUGAUUAUCCGAAAUGUUUAUUAAAAAUUUACUACAAUUGUUUUUUUCUUUUUGAGCUUUUUAUUUUUUUUAUCCUAGAAGCAGUAUAUGACACCAGUUAAAGAAAAAUUAUUUUAAUAAAAACACAUAAACAGAGACUGGUACGACAUUAAAUAAAUUUUUGUUACUUAAUUUAACGCUUAUUUUAUUUUUAUUAGGUACCUAUUAAUGUUAAAGUUUUAAUAGCAUAAACACAAUUUUAUUAGUGGUAUUUUUUGCGUAGUGAACGAGCUCACGCCCCGCUUGGUGUUAAGUGCUUUACUGGAGUCCAUAGGCGUCACAAACUGACCCACCUCGACACAUGUGGUCGAAAUCUCAAUUGUGCUGUAUAAAGCUGUCUAAUCCUUCAAAUCGGAACGCACGGGAGUAAUCUGGCCAAGAAAAAAAGUACUUCAAAUUUACUUAUAACUUUCAGCUUCUCAGUUAAAUUAUAAUUUGAAAUGUUGAAAUUUCAAAAUAAAUUAUGAAGGUUUUUUUCCUCUAUUCUCAAGAAUUAAUUAAGCUACUAAUUAGCAGUAUGAUACACAAGGAGUCUGAAGGUAAAUGUUCCCGAAGCCGUAAUGGGAUCAUAGCAACGUGUUUUAACGUAAACCCAAUAUAGAUUACUAACAAAAACAAAACUACUAAUUAUUUAGUCUAUGCAUAAUAUUUUUCGUUUAACGGAAUUUGGUUUUUUUUUUUUUUUUUUAUUGCCUCGAUGGGGGGACGAGCUCACAGCCCACCUGGUAUUAAGUGGUCACUGGAGCCCAUAGACAUCUACAACGUAAAUGCGAAACCCACCUUGAGAUAUAAGUUAUAAGGUAUCAAGUAUAGUUAGUUACAACGGCUGCCCCACCCUUCAAACCAAAACGCAUUACUGCUUUACGGCAAAAAUAGGCAAGGCGGAGGUACCUACCCGUGCGGACUCACAAGAGGUCCUACCACCAGUAAUUACGCAAAUUAUAAUUUUGCGGGUUUUAUUUUUAUUACACGAUAUUAUUCCUUCACCGUGGAAGUCAAUCAUGAACAUUUGUUGAGUAAGUAUUUCAUUAGAAAAAAUGGUACCCGCCUGGGAUUCGAUCACCGGUGUAUCGCUCAACUCGAAUGCAUCGGAAGUUUUAUCCUUUAGGCCACGACGACUUUAAUAAGCCUAAAAUGAAGACGACGGUAGCCCACUCACUGAGUUCUCGCCGGAUCUUCUCAGUGGGUCGGGUUUCCGAUCCGGUGGUAGAUUCGGCGAAGUACUGCUCUUGCUAGGGUCAGUGUUAGCAACUUCGCCAGGUUUGAGCCCCGUGAGCUCACCUACUCGUUCGGUAACGCUAAUAUAGGGUCUCAAGGCUAUGAGUACAGGAAGGAUAAAAAAAAAAGAAGAAGACGACGCAUCACCCACGUGCAGUUCAUUUUAUAUGUAUUGUAUCGCGACGUUUUUUAAUUGAUCGUGUCAAUAUCGCCAGCCACCUUUUCUAUUUAAGUCGCAGGUCUCUAAGUUUAAAUAUAUUUCUGUAUAGAUUUAGUAUUACAGUACAAUAUUUCUAAAAUUAGUAGACGUAACUAGAAAAAAAUGGUUUAAGACUAAAAAUGUUGACAGACUUACAGAUCUGAUAUGUAAAAAUAAAAACCUUGAAAAAUAAAAUAAACAUUCACGCUUACGAUGUAUUGAAUAAUAUUUGAACACAUUAUAAAUAAAUAGAAUAGUUAUUCGAGACCUGUAUUUUAUUUUUAAUUUAAAACGACACACCCACCGAUCAUGAAAUAAGAUCUUUAUAAACGUAACGAAAUACAAGCAACCUUAUUAGUCUACGAAUGGGUGUGUCAUGACGUGUUUUUACGACAAGCAGUGGCGUCGCAAAACGCCUGUUGCGUAUUAUUUAAACCGUCAAGGCCAUUCUUAACUCCCAUUUAUAAAAAUCGCAAACUAGCAUUUGAAUUUCGAUCUUAAACAGUUGAGGCGUAAUAUAUAUUUUACCAUCAUUCGAAAACUGCGUAAAUAAGCGCAUUCAACGGCUGAUAUUAUUAUCUUUCCAAUGGCCUUCAAUUUUUCGACUAAUGCGUGCCACUACAGUCAAUACAUUAAAGGCCGCCCCAGAACAACUUGGCGUCGCUCGGUGGAGCAGGAGCUAAGGAUCUUGGGCAUGACGUGGGAGGAGCUAGAACAGACUGCCCAAGACCGAUGUAAAUGGAAAAAUUUGAUUCGAGCCCUACACCCCAGCAGAGGGUAAUAGAAAAAAUGAUGAUGAUGAUUAAUUAAUCUUAUUUUAAAUUAAAUUGCCACAUUCUCAUGCAACUGCCACAUUCACUGCAAGUUUUGCUAUCAUUGUUCGGAGUUCGGCACAAUAGACAUCUGCCAUAAUUGCUUGACCAGAUCAGAUAAAGCUAUAGUGAAUAACACCAUGCUGAGACCACCAAACAGUUACCAUUAGCUUGGUAUUGGUAAGCUUUGCUUAAGGGACUCUGUUGUGGUGUUUGACCUGGGGUCAGUUAUUGCAUUUUUCACUUACGCUUAUCUUAAAGAAUCCACUUUUCAUCACAUGUCACAAUUCGAUCCAAUAUUCCUUCAUUUCUGAAACACAAGUUUCAACACGCGUUUUUAUCUGCAGAUCAGUCAAAUCAUGAGGAACCCAUUUUUCAUAUUUUUUUGACGCAAACGAGUUAAUUUUGCUGAUAAGGUAACUUUGACCAUACCGAUAAUUUCUGGAUAGUUUAACUCGGAUCGGCUUCCACCAUCUCUUUCAAUUCAUUGUUAUUCACAUGUGUGGACGGUCUUCCACGUGGAUCGUUCUUCAAAUCAAAAUUUCCAUCACAAAGCAUUUAAAACAAAAUCGCAUAUUGCGUUCAUUAGCAGUCCCCUCUCCAAACGCAACAUUAGUAUUGCGAGCUGUUUCUGCAGCGUUCGUUCCAUGUCGGAACUCUUAUUCAAAAAUCACCCGAAUUUUCGAAGUAUCCAUCUUUCUUGUCUAAGCUGAAUAAAAAAAGAACUGAAAGUCGAUAAUCGAAUGUUGCACAUUUUUUAAAAGAAGAACCUCAUAGGUACCAUUUGAAAAAAGUUGUACUCAAAAAUCUCAAACUAUGAAGGUUCUAUGUCAAUUCCAAGUACCUAUUACAACAGAAUGGCAAUUUCAUACUUUAACCCCUAUUAUGUGUAAUUAUUGUUUCCUUUGGUAAAUACAUAAGUUAUACUUUACAUAACAAGUGGAUAUGUAUAUAUAUAUAUCUUUUUGCUGUAGUUGGUUGAUCUCACAACCCACUUGGUACUAAGUGAAUGCAAGUUCCUAUAAACCAAACAAUGUGUAUGUUGCAUCCCAUCUUGGACAUAAUUUAAGGUUAAAUCUUAUAGUAGCCAUAGUGCCCAUCAAAUCAGAAUGCACAAAUUAACUGUCAAGAAAUUAGCAAAAUAGCUAAUUAUAUUAUAAAGAUUCACAGUAGCACCAAAAUCCACCAUAUACCUGCCAUUUACACAAACAAGAAAUAAUGAGAUAAUUUACUUUGAAAGAAUGGAUUGACUGACUGGAAAGAUUGACGAGAAGGCAGUUUAAAGCUAUCCCUGACUUAGCUUAGCUUUGUUUUGUUGCAACACACCAUAGCUUUGUAUACAUACAAGCGGCCC